AUACGUAGGGGGCGAGCGUUGUCCGGAAUUACUGGGCGUAAAGGGCGUGUAGGCGGGGCGUCAAGUCAGGUGUGAAAAUCCGAGGCUUAACUUCGGGUGUGCAUCUGAAACUGAUGUUCUUGAGUGUCGGAGAGGAAAGUGGAAUUCCCAGUGUAGCGGUGAAAUGCGUAGAGAUUGGGAGGAACACCAGUGGCGAAGGCGGCUUUCUGGACGAUAACUGACGCUGAGGCGCGAAAGCGUGGGUAGCAAACAGGAUUAGAUACCCUGGUAGUCCACGCUGUAAACGAUGGAUACUAGGUGUAGGAGGUAUCGACCCCUUCGGUGCCGGAGUUAACACAAUAAGUAUCCCACCUGGGGAGUACGGCCGCAAGGUUGAA
rnacentral:rRNA from 1 species